rnacentral:lncRNA from 1 species
UUCGAAUCCUGGGCGCGGACAUGGCACUGCUCAUCAAACCACGCUGAGGCAGCGUCCCACAUGCCACAACUAGAAGGACCCACAACGAAGAAUAUACAACUAUGUACCAGGGGGCUUUGGGGAGAAAAAGGAAAAAAUAAAAAAUCUUUAAAAAAAAAAAUACACAACUCCUUUUCCUUAAACUCUGAUUAGUUUCAAAAUGAUCGUACCCCUGAAGGGCUGUUAUAGUCCUAUAGGAAAACGUUCUGUUGCAUGAGACCUGAGAAGGGGCAUCAUUAACGUUCACAGAGCUGAGGGGAAGAGAGCUUUCCUCCUACUUCCCCAGGGAGACCACGAGCAGAUUCCUCACCAGAAACCCUGGAGGCCAGAGGGCAAGGGCUGAUGUACUCAAAGUGCAGAAGGAAAAGAAUCCGACCAGGAACCUCUAUCUGGAGAGCAGUCCUUCCAAAAUGAGGGAGCAACCAAGACGUUCCCAGAAAAGCACGGCUCAGAGAGCGCUGUCCACCAGACCCACCUCCGAGGAAGGGAGUCCUUCAGGCUGGAAGGAGAGGACGCGGACGGGCACUCGACGCCUCGGGCAGAAAUGAAGGUCUCUGCUCAAGUAAGUAGGAGACGACUACAAAAGCUGGAACUAUUCUAACUUUGGCUUGUACCUCCUCUUCUUGUUUUCUGCAUUAAGAGACUAAAGGAUUAAAACCCCAAUUCUUAGUCUGUGUUUUUGGACACACAAUGCCAUUGAUGGAAUUCUGUGACAUUAAGAACUGAAACAGGCAGCGUGAGAGCUCUAUAGGGUCCCAGUUUCUCUAUGUUACUGAAGUGACGCUGGCAUCAAUUGACAUUUGAGUGUUAUGACUUUAGGAUGUUAAGUGUAAUUUCACGGUAACCACAAAGAAAAGAGCUAUCGAAUAUACACAAAGCAAAAUGAGAAGGGAGUUAAAUUGCCUUUUCAGUAAUUGUACAGACGAGCUGCACGGCCCCGUCUACCACAACUGGGUCUAUGUUCAUGAGGUGACCUUUUAAAGCCACUAAAGGUGAGGGCUGGCUGCCAGGGGAACCCACCUCCAUCGGACAGUCGGAACUUUCAUUCCCACCCCCUGAUUUCCUGGGAGGGGAGAGGGGGCGGCGGUCGAAUCCAUCACCAACGGCCAAUGAGCUAAUCAAUCCUUCUUCUCUAAGGAAGCCUCCAUAAAGACCUCCAACCCCAAAGAGGUUCAGAGCGCUUCCAGGGGGGAGCUAGCACGCUUCCGCGGGCCACCUGCCGGGCCCCGAACUGCACGAGGACAGAAGCUCCUUCGUCAGGGACCUCGCCGUGUGUAUCUUCAUCUGCCUGUUGAUUCGCAUCUUGAAAUCUUAUGUGAUAAACCAGUAAUCUAGUGAGUAAACUGGUUUCCUGAGUCCUGUGAGCCACUCUAGCAAAUUAAUCGAGCCCACAGUGGGGCUCGUGCUAACCUCUGAUCUAUAUCCUGCUGGUCAGAAGCACAGGUGACAACCUGGGCUGGCGACUGGCAUCUGAAGUCGAGGCAGCCUGGUGGGACCGAGCCCUCGACCCGUGGAACGUGAUGCUGGCCCCGCGGAGAGGGUCAGAAUCGAGGCGAAGUGUCAGGGAAUUGUCAGGGGUCAGGGAACGGCUUGGUGGUAUGGGAACACUUCCCUCUACACACAUCAGAAGUGGGUAGCAGAAUCUUCCCCAGAAACAACCAGGACGCCGAGAGGAAGCCCAUGUAGCCACACGCAGGAGGACCAAGGCCCCAGGCCGCCAGCCCCGCCAGCUCCCAGCUGUCAGCCAGCACCAACUUGCCAGCAUUGGGAGCAAGGCCUCAGCUGAUGUCACGAAGGGUGGAGAGGAGCUGUCCCCCAGGCCCGGGCCCAAACUGUGAAAUCCUGAGUCAAUAAAUGAUGAUUUCCGUUUUAAACCGCUAACAUUGGGGCUGGUUGGUUACACAACGACAGAGGACCGCAGCAGCCCCCACCCCUUGCUCCGUGCACGCUCCAGUUCUGCAGAUGCCCCUCACACCCUGUCACAGACCGAAUGUUUGUGUCCCCCCAGCUUCCUAUGUUGACGCCCUGGGCCCCAGGUGGCAGUGUCUGGAGACGGGGCCUGUGAGGAGGUGCCGAAGGCUAACUGAGGCCAUGAGGGUGGGGCCCUAACUCGGUAGGACCAGUGCUCUGACAAGAGGAAGGGACACGAGAGCUCUCUCUCCACCACCAGACGCGUCUCCAUGCAGGGGCACCGCUGACCGGCCUGCACACCCUCGGC